ensembl:lncRNA
GUCUGUUUCAGCGUUACAUUUCUAGCCCUAGGACCCAGGAGGGUGUGAUCUGUGGGAAAAAAUAACAUGCCUAACAGCUCCAUGUGGAAGUUUGGAUGUUUUCCUGAGAAGAAUAAUUCCUGACUUGGGAGGAAUAGUGAGAAGCAUAAACAACCGCGACUCGUCACAGAGCAAAUGCGAUCUGUCAGAGGCUCAAAGAUCACUCACCACCAACACGUGGCUCUUUCUGCAGGAGCUCUAAGGGAGGCGCAGUCCCACCAGCGUUGGCUCCACCUACGUUAGAGUUGCAGAUGACCCAAAGCUGGGAGACAGAAAAGUGCACAGAAGUGAAAUUUGAAAAGAGCUUGGAAGUUCUGUACUAUUUCCAGAAUGCACCGCCUCUUUACUUGGGCCUCGAUUACGAAAUGUAUGCUGUAAAUACUGAACAUCCUAGGAAAUGACAUCAGACUCUUCUGCAAUCCCUUCCGCACACCACUCUCGGGGAUCCCACGAAGAAUCGAGACUUGCCAGCUGGAGGCGCAGUGCUGGCUGGGGCAGGAGCAGACCCAGGCCUGAUAAAGGACAGGAAUCCUGAGGGCGUGGAUACGAAGAGCAGGCCCGAGUUCCAUCAAGCAUUCAGAAACUGCUGAGGAGGAUGGAGACAGGUGGGGAGACUACACCUCAGAAAGUUGGAAUGACUGGGUUUAAGACACAUUGCUCACUGAGAACAGAAACUGGACUAGAAUCCAGAAUUUCGGAUGUACAGAGACAUGGCAUGACUACCUCAGUUCCACGUCUAUAUUCGUGUACACAGUUAUGUCUGAUGUCGCCGACAAUUAGAAUCUCCAGUUUGGGGAGACAAUGACUCCUAAAGAACACAUACAGGGGUAAUAAUCUAACUGCUGAUUCAGGAAAGGUCUCUCAGUUUUCGUGGGAGUGAAAACACCUGUGGAGAAAGGAAUGCCUACUGCUUUCCAGGGGUAGGAGACUGUGGAAUACAUUUGUUUUCAAAACUUCUGUUUGAAAAAUCUCAACCGGAACCACAACAUGAAACAAGAGAAGAUCUCCCUCAGCAUGUUUGUUCCUGUUUGUUUAAAUGAGCAUAUUCUAAGAUGUUUUGGCUACCUCGUCUGCUUGUUUCCAUGCUGAGGGACAUUCUGUCCUCUGGGAGGAGAAAGGAAAGAACAAACCUUGAGCCUGGGAAAAGUGGAAGUAAUCUCUUUCCCUAAAGCUCAUCUUGCAAAGCCAUAAAUAUGACAUGUUGUUAAUGGAGGAUAAUUAAUUCAUUCCUCAUAAAUAUCAUUCUUAUUUCACCAAUGUGGGUAUUUUCUCCAAUGUUCUCAUUUGCCCCAAAGUACAGACACCUGAUAAGAUGUGGAUCCCCUGACGCAACUAAGUCCUUGCCUCAAGAAAGCAAACAUUUUGAGAUUUACUAGGGCAAUUCACAUUGAAGGCAAAUGAUACAUUUAUCUCAACACUUGCUCCCAUCCCUCUGAAACAUUAAGACAAAUAUUUACCCAAGCCAUCAGGAAAUAUGGCUGUGACCAACACAAAAUUGAUUUUUCACAUACAUAUCAGUCUCAGAAAGGUGAGUUCCAAGAGAGUAGAUUCACAGGCACACUGGGGACUUUGGAAAAAUCUGGAAAGGAAAGCUAUUUUUUCUUAUACAGCAUUCUCGGUUUGAGGGAAGGGGGCUUUCAAACAGCAUAGUGUGUAAUUUUAAAUACAAAGUGAAAAAUCUUAAA